CUGAUUAUAUUAAAGAGCCGCAGUAUUCUGACUGUGCGAAGGUAGCAUAAUAAAUUGUCUUUUAAAUGGAGGCUUGAAUGAAAGGUUGGACAAAGUAUCAUCUGUUUCUUAAAUAUUUAUUGAAUUUGACUUUCAAGUGAAAAGGCUUGAAUAAAUUAAAAAGACGAUAAGACCCUAUAAAUCUUUACAAUAAACAUGUUCUAUAUUUUAAUUUAUAAGUGUAUAAAAUAUUAAAUUUGUAUUUGUUUCGCUGGGGCGGCGUGGACAUAUUAAUAAACUGUCUAUGUGUUAAAUCCAAUAAUUAUUGAUUAGUGAGAUUGAUCCUUAAAUAGAUUAAAAGAUUAAGAUACUUUAGGGAUAACAGCGUUAUUUUUUUUGAGAGUUCUUAUCGAAGAAAAAGUUUGCGACCUCGAUGUUGAAUUAAAGUAUCUUUAUGGUGCAGCCGCUAUAAGAGAGAGUCUGUUCGACUUUUAAUACUUUACAUGAUCUGA
rnacentral:rRNA from 1 species